rnacentral:lncRNA from 1 species
CACUGUUGCCAGACCACAGGUGGUGGGCUGGGCUUUGUGCGGUCAUUACAGUGAGAUAUAAGAAACUGGUUUGUAUAAUGUGUACCCAUAACAUUUGCAUCAAUUCAAAGAGCAAACUGAAAUAACUUGCACCGUCGUAGAAACUCCACCCAGCUGAAUUCACACUGCACGGUAGUAAAAUUUUCAAGUCAAAUGGACUUUAGCAUUGCUAUGAAGACUUUCCCCACUGUGGCUUCCCUUCAUCACAGCCCUUGCAGCCAAGAAACCGGUCCAGAAACAGAGACAAGCCUUGAAGUGAAGCCCUUAGAAAUCAAGUCUGUGGCAGGAGAUGCAGGAAGCUGAAGAACUGAGGGGCAUCCCUGCAGAUAGCUGUGCUGCUUAGCCUCAGAUCCUGCACGUCAGCUGUUUCAGACGAGCCCUAAGAGCAGCAACCUGGACAUGUUUAUGUAGUAUAGGUAAAGGAAAAACAGAGAACCACAUUCCUGUCUGAUGCUCAGAAUAUAAAUCUGUCAAAAGAGACUUCGGAAGAGAUUUUGGCCAGGGAGUAAUGAAGUGAAGGAUCUAUAGGCUACUCUCCUUCCUGGGGCUGAUCACGACUCUCAAACUGCCACAACAAGCAGCUACUCAUACACCUCAAGUAAAACUACUCUGUUUCAGCGGGGGCCCCUGGACAACGAUGAGAAAAUUGGAAGCUCUUUGGAAGAAACAUCUGAAUAUAUUAGGCCAAAUUCUGCUAUGAGUUCUCCAAAAAGAUGGCAUCAAGUCUUACUUUAAAAAAUACAACACCAACCACCCCUCUUCCCAAGCCACUCCAGACAAUUGUCACAGCUCUUCCCCAAGCCAUGGCUUACCUGGCUUACCGGUUAGGCCACAUGUUACUGCUUAGAAGAAUAAUCCAGGAAUAUUCAACAGAACAAGCUGAAAAAAGCAGCACCACUGAGCUGCCAACAACAGAGGUUACCGAGUAAGAGGGAAAAAAAGACCAGCAGAUGGAAUGAAUAGAUAGUGGUCACCAUGACCAGGAAUAGCUUUGGUCCCAGGAAAUGGGUGCUUUUCAGCAUCUGAAGCAGAACUGCAGCCUGAGGGUUGCUGCCAAGCCUCUGUCUCACCAUCUGUGAGACUGAAGAUGCAGAAAUGCACGAUACAGGUUUUUGUCUGCAGCCUUUAUCUAGACAUUGGGAACUAUUUAUACUGCUCG